rnacentral:rRNA from 1 species
UAUGCCUACGGGACGCAGCAGUAGGGAAUUUUCGUCAAUGGGCGCAAGCCUGAACGAGCAAUGCCGCGUGAACGAGGAAGGUCUUCGGAUCGUAAAGUUCUGUUGAAGGGGAAAAAGAGCGGGGAGAGGAAAUGAACUCCGAUUGAUAUUACCCUUCGAGGAGGUCACGGCUAACUACGUGCCAGCAGCCGCGGUAAUACGUAGGUGGCGAGCGUUAUCCGGUAUGAUUGGGCGUAAAGGGUGCGUAGGCGGCCUGCUAAGUCUGGAGUGAUAGGUACCGGCUCAACCGG